rnacentral:rRNA from 1 species
CAGGGAAUCUUGUCCAAUGGGCGAAAGCCUGAGACAGAGACGCCGCGUGAGGGAUGAAGGCCUUCGGGCUGUAAACCUCUUUCAGGAGGGACGAACUUGACGGUACCUCCAGAAGAAGCCCCGGCCAACUACGUGCCAGCAGCCGCGGUAAUACGUAGGGGGCAAGCGUUGUCCGGAUUUAUUGGGCGUAAAGGGCUCGUAGGCGGCUCAACAAGUCGGCCGUGAAAACCCAGGGCUCAACCCUGGGACGCCGGUCGAUACUGUUGUGGCUUGGGUCCGGUAGAGGAGAAUGGAAUUCCCGGUGUAGCGGUGAAAUGCGCAGAUAUCGGGAGGAACACCAGUAGCGAAGGCGGUUCUCUGGGCCGGUACCGACGCUGAGGAGCGAAAGCGUGGGGAGCAAACAGGAUUAGAUACCCUGGUAGUCCACGCUGUAAACGUUGGACACUAGGUGUGGCGGAUUUAUCAACGUCUGCUGUGCCGUAGCUAACGCGUUAAGUGUCCCGCCUGGGGAGUACGGCCGCAAGGCUA